CGUCUUCGGAAGCGCACUUUGCUGAAAACGUGAAUUGUCUUCUUCAGAGUUCGUGCUCCUGUAAAGAAAAUGGAAAAAUCGCGCCGGGACAACUUGAAAUUUCAAGAAGGCUGCCAAAGAAACUGAUUGCCGUGAAGCAAAAAGACGGUCGCGACGAGUCCAAGACGCCUAAGCUGUUGCUAAAAGGACCUGAUUUGCGUUUAUUUCAAAACUACAAAUUUGAACCAUGUGUGUUGAAAGAUACGUUUGAAGUUUACCAAACGAAGCAGUGAACAGGAAAUUUUCCGUAAACUGCAAACACAGUUUACAGAACCAAGAUGUAAAGACCACGCGGUCUUUUGUUGCGUACCUUUUGUCCGAAAACACAAAAACAAUAGCGCGCCGCAAACUAAAACUACACGCUUCUUUCACGUUUUCGAUUACUCUUUAAUUUUGUUAUGAAAACAAAAUGCACGCGUCUUGUCGCGAAUAAAUAUCUCAUUCACCCGGGACAAAGCAAAAUUUACACUUUUUAAAGCUCGUUAUUUUGCUCAAUUAGCUGGCUAAUUUCGCUGCAAUCGCAUAAGGAAGUCUAUGGUGAAUAUUUUCCUAAUCAUGUCUGUGAAUUUGCGCUGAUUUUACCGACCGAAGACAUACUCCGUGAAAAGUGAUGAAGAGUGCUGUCAUGUUUGUAGGUAGUUCUAAAAAUGAGAACUCUACAGCUGAUGUCAACAGAGAUUAAUUCGUUGUUCCUUUGAUAAAGCGCUGUGAACUGCAAAGAUAAACUUUCCGAUUUACUUUACAAGCCCAGCUUCAAAUGGCUUCCUACAAGCGUAUUACGUUUCGUUAAUAUAUGUGUCAGUAAAGCCAUUGUUAUUUUCUUCCCCUGUAAAAUCCUAAGUGGGCAAGUGUGGGGAAUAAGUAUACACUGUAAUUUCUUGCUAUGAAAACAAAAAAAUAAAACAGUGAUCUUGUGUUGAUCGAGAAAGGCUUUGAAAUCCCCUUCGCUUGGCCAUACGGAUCUCGACGUUUGCACAAAAUUUGUGACGUUGUUUACUCGCAAAAUGUGGAAGCUCGUAUGGAGCCAACCGGCCUUUAACGAAUGAAUUUGGUCCGGAGAUGAAAAAAGGGCAGUCCCCUUUAAAUGAGCGAGGCCGA